UACGUAGGGGGCUAGCGUUGUCCGGAUUUAUUGGGCGUAAAGAGCGUGUAGGCGGCCAGACAGGUCCGUUGUGAAAACUCGAGGCUCAACCUCGAGACGUCGACGGAAACCGUCUGGCUAGAGUCCGGAAGAGGAGUGUGGAAUUCCUGGUGUAGCGGUGAAAUGCGCAGAUAUCAGGAAGAACACCUAUGGCGAAGGCAGCACUCUGGGACGGUACUGACGCUGAGACGCGAAAGCGUGGGGAGCGAACAGG
rnacentral:rRNA from 1 species